rnacentral:misc_RNA from 1 species
AACGCACAUUGCGCCUUUUGGUAUUCCGAGAGGCAUGUCUGUUUGAGCGUCAUGAACAUCCCUCGGCCGCCGGUUUUGUCGCCGGCGACCGGUCCUGAGCCCCAGGGGCCACACCCGGGGCUUCAAACAAGAAGCUAGCGAGCCGUGUCUCAUCCCAAAGCGUAGUAAAGCUCUUGCCUCGCCUGGUUGAGACGACCCGCUCCGCCUGGAAGACACAUGACACUUUUGACCUCAGGUCAGACAAGGAUACCCGCUGAACUUAA